ensembl:lncRNA
GCUAACGUUAGUAAUGCACGACUGAGCUCAAAGUCAGUGAAAAUCUGCACAUUUUUUCCUUGUGCCCUUCGAUGCCUGGCUAGGCUUUCUCACGUGUUUCCAGACUAACUCGACGGAGUCGACAAGACUGCAAACGUCUCAUUUAAAAACGCAAACCAUCCUGGAAGGUCUCCCUAUUUUUCUCUGUGAAGAUUCCUCUGCACUUUUUAAAACAUGCCUGGACGAGACUCCAGAGGACAGACAGACCAGAGGGAUGAAGGUGGGAAUCCUUAUUGUAAUUGAAGAUGAUGCCACCCCCACCACACUACCCAGUGUCAUAAAAUUUGCUGUUGUGUUGGAGGAGGUGAUUGUACUGAAAGAUGCUCCAGACUUGCAGUCUGCACUUGCAUACCUG